rnacentral:rRNA from 1 species
GGCUGUAGUCGGUCCCAAGGGUUGGGCUGUUCGCCCAUUAAAGCGGUACGCGAGCUGGGUUCAGAACGUCGUGAGACAGUUCGGUCCCUAUCCGUCGUGGGCGUAGGAAAUUUGAGAGGAGCUGUCCUUAGUACGAGAGGACCGGGAUGGACAUACCUCUGGUGUACCAGUUGUCGUGCCAACGGCAUAGCUGGGUAGCUAUGUGUGGACGGGAUAAGUGCUGAAAGCAUCUAAGCAUGAAGCCCCCCUCAAGAUGAGAUUUCCCAACUUCGGUUAUAAGAUCCCUUAAAGAUGAUGAGGUUAAUAGGUUCGAGGUGGAAGCAUGGUGACAUGUGUAGCUGACGAAUACUAAUCGAUCGAAGACUUAAUCAA